rnacentral:lncRNA from 1 species
ACACCUUAAAGACAAACUGCCAAGUUGCUUUAAAGCUGCAAACACUUUGAGCUGAGUCUGUUGUAGAAGGCAGCAAUUUUGAACCUUCAUGCAGCUGCGAUUCUCCCUGAGCUGGUUAAUGGGUAUGUGGGGAACAUGAACCAAGGUUAGGUGGCCUCUGGUUAGGACCAGCAGCAAUGGACAUUUGGACAGGAAUAGAGGAAUCGGUGUUGACCUUCACAAUGACCCCUACACCUCCACAGGUGGGAAGCAAGAUCUUUAAAAUGUCUGUGAUGCUAUUAGGCAUUCAGCUUGGCCAGAGUGACACCAAUCAGGUGCAGGUCAGCCUGUGAAGUCUCCACAGUCCCAGGAAGCCAUUGCUGGAUUGGAUAUACAUGGUACCAGGGGUCCCACAGUAGCAGAGCUUAUCCAAACCAGAGCCUGCAGAAGUGAGGACAACAGGAAAUGAAAGCCUUAAUCAGCCAGCCUGAGUAAAAGGCACAAUUUUAUUUUUGGUGGGGUCAUACUAUUGAAGUCUCCAACCUGUAAAUUAGUGUGCAUCAAUGCAUAUUGCUGUCAGAUCUUCCCUCAAUU